UAAAUAAGCAAAGCAAGAUGGCCCUGUAGUAUUGGGCUGGAGACAUCCUUGGGAGGGUCAUGAUGAUCAUGGCCAUGGACAUUAAAAUUAGCAAGCGUUGACACGGAGAUCAUGCACGAGACAAGCUGAAGGAUCCGCGGUGGGCGUAUGUGAUACGAAUGUUCACUUUGCUCAAUUCCUCCAAUAAGUUUGCUGUGGAAGAGAUUUCCUUUUUGGACGUUUUCCUGAACAUAUGUUAUGUUACAACUCUAGACCCUGUAAACUUGGAUGACAGCUGUGGUUGUUUAAAUAAAUUGUUCAUGUCUUAUGUUUUUAAUAGAGCUAUUUACCAUGAGAAGACUCAAAAUUCGUGUGUUCUUGUGCGGACGCCAAUUUUGGGUAAAUUCCUGUGUUUGGAUGGGCGGGUCAAGACAAUUUUAGCCAACGAUGUUAUCAUAUUGGCAGGAAAAUAAACCGGUCAGUUUAGCUUGGUAUGGGUUUUUACAGCCUUGCGGGGUAUGAGCUGAACCAGAUAUGAAUUACAUAUUUUUU